GUCGUGAUUUACACAGGAGCCAAAAAGGGUUUUUAUCAAAACCCUAAAUCACAAGAAAUUCAGCCAAAUCAAGGGAAAUCAAGCUAGGAAAUUGGGGCUUUUAAUAAAUUAGUGAUCACCAAACCUAGGGGAUUACAAGUUUGACGCCUAACAAGCUAGGUGGAAGCUUGUGGAUGAAGCGGGUCAAACGGAGCGCGUACGGAAAGAAAGGCGUGGCAUGGAUGCAAGGUGUAAAUGUCAAAUGGGUAUUAGCAACGCUAUGAAUUAGCGGUUAUAAAAGCAAGGUAUUAAAAACGGGUCAAUAUAUUGAUCUGCGCCAGGUAUGUGAAAAAGGGUAACCCUCAUUUAGAACAUGUGGUUCAAAGAGUGUUAAAAGUAGUCAAGGUGAACAUUUGGUUACUUGAUAAGUAAACCAAAUGUUUUAGGUAAGGAACAUUGUAUUUGGAAAGCUUAAUGACUUUUCAAACAAAAUCAUAGGUUAAAAGAGGGAUUACGGGUCAAAAUAAGCAUACGAGUGAAAACGGGUUUAAAUUGUGUAAUAAACCUGUGAUUAUAACCUAAUAUGGUAAAUAACCUUAAUUUGAAGUAGUGUACGUGAUAUAAAGGUUAAACAAGUAUGUUUGUUUGAUAAACGUAUAAACGGGUCAAAAUUUUGGUAAAAGAG